GACCUCAAAUCAGGUAGGAACACCCGCUGAACUUAAGCAUAUCAAUAAGCGGAGGAAAAGAAAAUAACAAUGAUUCCCCUAGUAACUGCGAGUGAAGAGGGACAAGCUCAAAUUUUAAAUCUAUCGGGUUUUACCUGAUCGAGUUGUAAUUUGAAGAAGCGUUUUCUGCGUAUUUGGUCAGCCUAAGUCCUAUUGAAUGAGGCAUCAUGGAGGGUGAUAAUCCCGUCCGGUUGAUCAUUUGCGUUUUACGAUACGCUUUCUAAGAGUCAAGUUGUUUGGGAUUGCAGCUUAAAAUGGGAGGUAAAUUUCUCCUAAGGCUAAAUAACGGCGAGAGACCGAUAGCGAACAAGUACCGUGAGGGAAAGAUGAAAAGAACUUUGAAAAGAGAGUUAAACAGUACGUGAAAUUGUUGAAAGGGAAACGAUUGAAGCCAGUCGUACCUUCGGGUAAUCAGCCUUUCGGGUGCGAUUCUGUGGAGUGUGAGGAGCUUAAACACCUUCAUGUUUUGCAUAUUCGUACUCUUGGGUGUACUUGCCCGUGUGGUUGGUUAACAUCAAUUUUGGUGGUCAUAAAAUGACUGGGGGAAUGUAGCUUCGAUCUUGUAUUGAAGUGUUAUAGCCUUCGGUAGAUGUGGUGAUCGAGAUUGAGGAUUGCAACGGAUACCUUUCGGGGCUACCUGUCUGAUCUCUGAUCGUUGCUUUGGUGCUGAAAGCGUGCUUAUAGUUAUCAAAGUCGAUGGUUAAUAGGUUAGAAUGGGUUAAAUUCGUUAAGGAUGUUGACGUAAUGGCUUUAAACGACCCGUCUUGAAACACGGACCA
rnacentral:rRNA from 1 species